rnacentral:misc_RNA from 1 species
GGAUGAAAUCAACUCUAAUUGAAGUAACAAGGGAGUUUAGGAGUGGUUGUUGCAGCCUCAAAUAGACCAAAUCACUAAGAAUGAGUGAAAUUCUCAUAAGAAAUUGCUAGAUUUUGGAGAGCAAUUGUGGCUCCUCUCGCUUCUUCUCUCGCGUUCUGUAAAGAGGAGAAGAUGGUGACUGGUUUCUUCCAUCAUGGGGAGGCUCUUAGAGAUGAAAAGAUGUCGGUAAGGAUGGGAUUUGGCUAGAA